GGAUGCGAUCAUACCAGCACUAAAGCACCGGAUCCCAUCAGAACUCCGAAGUUAAGCGUGCUUGGGCGAGAGUAGUACAAGGAUGGGUGACCUCCUGGGAAGUCCUCGUGUUGCAUUCC
rnacentral:rRNA from 3 species